rnacentral:rRNA from 1 species
CCUGGCUCAGGACGAACGCUGGCGGCGCGCCUAACACAUGCAAGUCGAACGAGCGAGAGAGAGCUUGCUUUCUUGAGCGAGUGGCGAACGGGUGAGUAACGCGUGAGGAACCUGCCUCAAAGAGGGGGACAACAGUUGGAAACGACUGCUAAUACCGCAUAAGCCCACAGCUCGGCAUCGAGCAGAGGGAAAAGGAGCAAUCCGCUUUGAGAUGGCCUCGCGUCCGAUUAGCUAGUUGGUGAGGUAACGGCCCACCAAGGCGACGAUCGGUAGCCGGACUGAGAGGUUGAACGGCCACAUUGGGACUGAGACACGGCCCAGACUCCUACGGGAGGCAGCAGUGGGGAAUAUUGCACAAUGGGGGAAACCCUGAUGCAGCGACGCCGCGUGGAGGAAGAAGGUCUUCGGAUUGUAAACUCCUGUUGUUGAGGAAGAUAAUGACGGUACUCAACAAGGAAGUGACGGCUAACUACGUGCCAGCAGCCGCGGUAAAACGUAGGUCACAAGCGUUGUCCGGAAUUACUGGGUGUAAAGGGAGCGCAGGCGGGAGAACAAGUUGGAAGUGAAAUCCAUGGGCUCAACCCAUGAACUGCUUUCAAAACUGUUUUUCUUGAGUAGUGCAGAGGUAGGCGGAAUUCCCGGUGUAGCGGUGGAAUGCGUAGAUAUCGGGAGGAACACCAGUGGCGAAGGCGGCCUACUGGGCACCAACUGACGCUGAGGCUCGAAAGUGUGGGUAGCAAACAGGAUUAGAUACCCUGGUAGUCCACACCGUAAACGAUGAUUACUAGGUGUUGGAGGAUUGACCCCUUCAGUGCCGCAGUUAACACAAUAAGUAAUCCACCUGGGGAGUACGACCGCAAGGUUGAAACUCAAAGGAAUUGACGGGGGCCCGCACAAGCAGUGGAGUAUGUGGUUUAAUUCGACGCAACGCGAAGAACCUUACCAAGUCUUGACAUCCCUUGACGAACAUAGAAAUAUGUUUUCUCUUCGGAGCAAGGAGACAGGUGGUGCAUGGUUGUCGUCAGCUCGUGUCGUGAGAUGUUGGGUUAAGUCCCGCAACGAGCGCAACCCUUAUGGUCAGUUACUACGCAAGAGGACUCUGGCCAGACUGCCGUUGACAAAACGGAGGAAGGUGGGGAUGACGUCAAAUCAUCAUGCCCUUUAUGACUUGGGCUACACACGUACUACAAUGGCGUUAAACAAAGAGAAGCAAGACCGCGAGGUGGAGCAAAACUCAGAAACAACGUCCCAGUUCGGACUGCAGGCUGCAACUCGCCUGCACGAAGUCGGAAUUGCUAGUAAUCGUGGAUCAGCAUGCCACGGUGAAUACGUUCCCGGGCCUUGCACACACCGCCCG